UGGUCCCAGCCUUGAAAUCAGUUGUUACUUAAUAUACACAUGCAAGUAUCAGCACCCCUGUGAGAACGCCCUUAAAUCCCCAAUUGGGAUAAGGAGCUGGUAUCAGGCCUUUUCCCCGCCCAAGACACCUAGCCACGCCACACCCUCAAGGGAAUUCAGCAGUGAUAAACAUUGACAAUAAGCGACAGCUUGACCCAGUUAAAGUAAAAAGAGCCGGCUAAUCUGGUGCCAGCCGCCGCGGUUACACCACGUGGCUCAAACUGAUUUUUAUCGGCGUAAAGCGUGAUUAAAGUUCUCCUUAAUUUGAGUUAAAUUAAAACUAAGCCGUGACACGCUUGUUGUUAAGAAAACCAAAAUCGAAAGAUACUCCAAUUUAUCCCACUUGAAUUCACGACAGCUAAGAAACAAACUGGGAUUAGAUACCCCACUAUGCUUAGCCGUAAACUUUAAUUUACAUCCACAUCGCCAGGGAACUACGAGCAAAGCUUAAAACCCAAAGGACUUGACGGUACCCCAUAUCCACCUAGAGGAGCCUGUCCUAUAAUCGAUAAUCCCCGCUUAACCUCACCCCCUUUAGCCUAUCAGCCUGUAUACCUCCGUCGUCAGCUUACCACGUGAGCGCAUCUUAGUGAGCUUAAUGUCCACACGCCAAAACGUCAGGUCAAGGUGCAGCACAUGAGGGGGGAAGAGAUGGGCUACACUCUCUAAAUUAGAAUACACGAAUGACUAUUUAUGAAAACUAGUCUAAAGGCGGAUUUAGAAGUAAAAAGAAACCACAGUGUUCUUUUUAACCCGGCACUGGGGUGUGUACACACCGCCCGUCACCCUCUUCAAAGCCCAAUACAAGUCUAUAACUCACCCCUUGCUAGAUAGAAGAGGCAAGUCGUAACAUGGUAAGUAUACCGGAAGGUGUGCUUGGAAA
rnacentral:ncRNA from 1 species